UUUUCACAUCAAGAAACAAAAAGGCAGAGAAAGUCACUAACCUGCUAGGGAACUCGGAUAGUAGGUAGGCAGAGCUUAGAUGAAACCCAAUCUGCUGACUCCACAUGUGGUAAUGAUAAAGGAGACGCUCUCUCGGGAGACGUGUGAAACUCGUGGUGAGAUUCAGAGACAGAGAGUGAUGAGCGAUUGGCUAAGUGACUGGAAGGUGAUUUUUCCAGGUAGGAUUUCUGUUUUAGAUCAAGUUUGAAGUCUAAGCACUUUUAAGCCUCAGCAGAAAAGUUUAUGAUGUGGAUGGGGAUAGGCCACUUGAAAACCGCUGUUUUUUACGGCCACAUAAGUUUUUCCUCUCUCGCCUAUUUUCUGAAAUAGAUCCUGCUGUCUGGGCCCCACAGAUAGAUCCAGGACAGAAAGUGAGACCAUCACAGUGCCUGGUGCCUCUGGACAGCCUCAAGCCAGAAAAUAAGAGCCUAUUUCUGAGAUUGUAUAUGAGGUUGUGAGACAAAAGUUUUUUCUUCUCGCAUUGCUAAACUGAGAGGAUGAGAAUACGAGGCUCUGAAUGGCCCUCUUCCCAGCACAUGGAACUCCUGUCUGCAGAAAGGAAACUACUGACAACAAGGAGAGAAUGGAGACUCAAACAGCUUGGAUGUCCCUGCCUGGAAAGGUGACAUGUGUGCCUCUCUUCUCUUCUUAUUGUUUGCACGGUGUGAAGGCACACCGUGCUGGGACCUCAGC
ensembl:lncRNA novel transcript, antisense to ESR1